AGGAAAGACAAAUAUAAGGAUCUAGAACAUAUCUACUAUUUUCUUAAGAAAUUUAACAAAUAUGUAAUGCACAUCUAUAAGUGGGUUUGCUUGGACUAUGCUAUUUCUGAAUAAUAUAUAUGGGUCCGUGCAGCAUUUCCACGAUAUCGUUAUGAUCAAUUAAUGGGACUUCGCCGGAAAGUGUUCUUGCCUCUAUCAUUAGCUCGGGUAGUCCCCGUUUCAGGUGUUUCGGGGAGAAGAUGGCUUGAUUGAGACGAGACCCAUAACUAUAGCCAAACCGACACAGGUGAACAAGUAGAGUAUACUAGGGCGCGUCGAGAGAACCAUGUCGAAGGAACUCGGCAAAAUGACCCCGUAACUUCGGGAGAAGGGGUGCUCUCCUAUCUUUUGAGAAAUGAGCUAUGCUCCAAGAAUUGACCCCAGAACUACCUUUGCCUGCCUUUUCUUGUAGAAUCCAUUCCCCCUCUUUACUAUAUAUACAUGUGGAAUUCUUUCCAAAAGAAAAAAUAACUUCAAAAUAUGAUUUUAAAAAAUUUGAAAAUUUUGGGCUCACUGGAGCCCAGGAGCCAUGGAAUUGUACAAUUGUAAACACACAGCAUACAAGCUUUAUGCUCUAUUUGACUGCCUAUUCUGCCAUCAAUUAUAAUGUUUCUACUAUAAUUUCAUCUAGGCAUGCUACUUUCGAGAAAAAUAAUCUAGACACUGAAAAUAGCACUUUCUUGUAUGUUAGAAUGCAUAGCUGGUAUACAGCAUUUCAAAUUUCAUGCAAUAGAUUUGUAUGACAAUUGGUAUAUAUAUAUAAAAAAGGAGGUUAAUUUUAUUACGAAGUUUCAGAAAUAGAAAGAGUGCUUUUCACGAUAUGUAUUUUCUGUAUAGGACAUCUACAGUGUAAGCUCACCAAAGCACAACUGGGAAGGAAUUAAGGUUACUCCUAUAACUAAUUU
rnacentral:lncRNA from 1 species